UUCUUUGUUAGAUUUCUAAAUUUUAACGUACAACAAUUGUUUAAAUUGCAUCCAUAAAAUAUACAUAUUCUCCGACAACGAUGUUACCGAUAGCGACGAGUAUAAUAACAACAAGGUUAUCUCCCUUAUGCAUAUACGUAAUUUCCGGUUAGUAAUUGACAAACAAGAAAUUUUCAAACAUUUAAGGUUUUUGUCUUCAUUUGCUGCUUUUUGAGGAUGCUUCUGUCGAGUUUUGACAGGACAGUAUCCAUGUUACCUGCCCGGCCCCCUCCAUAACAGUUGGGACAUUGCCUGCCAGUCUUCUUCCCCAAUCAUGCCCAACCGAUUGGUCCAACAUUGUUCAAAACUUGAUGGAAAUGCGGUGUCAUCAUAGUUUGGAGUAUGUGCAGGACACUCUGGACAACAAGCAGUUUAUUUCUUCGAUGAGACUGAAUUAAAAGGGAGCAGACACUUUUGUGAGCAUGAUGAUCACUACUUCAAGUACCAUGGCUUGGAGAAGAAAAGCCGAAAUUGGCACUUUGUCUUAGCAGCAAACAUUACCUUGAUGAAAACCAGAGCAGUUGUGUACCCUGAACUCCUUUCCAAAAUCUGCAUCAAGGGGAUGGAUCUUGAACGGCAGUGGUAUUAACAUGACAAGAUCAGAGAAUACAGCAGAUUAGACAUUGAAAAAGACAGAGUGCCAUAGACAGUCUCAACUAAAGCAUUGAACAAACUGUACAACCUGUUAAUUAACUUUUUAGAGCUGUUUGUUUGGACUAGUGUUUGACAUUCAGAAAUAAGUAAUAACAUUAUUUCUCAGUAUAAGAAAUCUGUAGGAAUUAGAAGCUGACAUUUACUGUUACUAUAUAAACAAACCUCUUAGAGGAUUAGCCAGGUUAAAGAAAGACAGGGAGCCACAGAAAAGAUACAGGUUUCCAUGUGUCAAUAGGACACCCUUCAUUUAGCUGUGAAGAAUUUUAACAUUUUGAAUGUUACAGAAAAUGUUAGGAAUAUUGUAUAAUGUUUAAUUGAAGUACUAUUAGGUUUCAAGUGCCAAAUAUUUAAAGCCUGUGUGUAUUUAUAAUCUUGUGAAUAUAAAGUUGUUAUCAAAACUAAAUCAAUAUUUGACUGUCUUAAGCUUUAAAUUCUAUGAAGGCAGGAGGCUGCCAAUCUUACUCUUCAUGACGGGUGCUUCCAAAAAAGAACAGGGUGCAGAAACCUUCCAUAACUCUUGCUAGAACCCUAAUAUCCUUUUUUCAUCAAAUUACAGUAACAUUGACAAUUAACAAAUGAUGCAGUGAUAUUUUUUUAUGCUAAUAUUAUCAAUUUUUAUUGUCAUUAAGUUUUCUUCUAGAAUUGAUUUGUACAUGUAAUGUAUUGAAAAUUGAUACUUGUGGUUGCCAUGGUUACAACUUGUUUCUUAGUGUAGUAAUAUGUUUUAUACAUAUAAAUACAAUAUUGCAUUAUGUUAACUUAUAAUAUUUUAAGAAAUAAUGAUUCAAACACAUGUACAGAGACAAUAAAUACACUACUUUGUAUUUUUGUUGCCAUGGCAAUGCUUCUGUGUAUAUUUGUUACAUUUAUUGUUUUUUAUUACAGGAAUGUCCAUUAGUGAAAUUAUAAUGUGUAUAAUAAGCAUAGCUACAAAAUGCAUAGAUACAUGAAAAUACCUAUUUAUGGAUGUACAUUUUCUUCAUAUUUCGAGAAUAGAAUAUAUUUUGUACACUGACCCCCUUUGGACUGAAAUCACCAUAGCAACAAAAGUCUUAAACAUUUUGAAUAAUUUUUUUUUUAAAUAUAUUUGUAAAGUGUCUGCCAAUGCUUAGGUUAUUUAAGUACUUUUUAAGAGCGGCGUGUGUGAUCCCUUUUACGUUUAAUAUUGAAUUGCAUCGUAUUGUGGUUGUCAUGGUAACAUUUUGAUUGCCAUUUAAAACUUCAAUCAUAAUUUUACAAGAAUUUUGUCACCAGUUCAAUAAUAUGUUAUUUUGUGUAAGAUAUAUAACUACAAAUUAUAUAAAGACAUAAAAAAACA